UGGGGAAUUUUGGACAAUGGGCGAAAGCCUGAUCCAGCAAUGCCGCGUGUGUGAAGAAGGCCUUCGGGUUGUAAAGCACUUUUGUCCGGAAAGAAAUCCUUGGCUCUAAUACAGUCGGGGGAUGACGGUACCGGAAGAAUAAGCACCGGCUAACUACGUGCCAGCAGCCGCGGUAAUACGUAGGGUGCAAGCGUUAAUCGGAAUUACUGGGCGUAAAGCGUGCGCAGGCGGUUUGCUAAGACCGAUGUGAAAUCCCCGGGCUCAACCUGGGAACUGCAUUGGUGACUGGCAGGCUAGAGUAUGGCAGAGGGGGGUAGAAUUCCACGUGUAGCAGUGAAAAUGCGUAGAGAUGUGGAGGAAUACCGAUGGCGAAGGCAGCCCCCUGGGCCAAUACUGACGCUCAUGCACGAAAGCGUGGGGAGCAAAACAGGAUUAGAUACCCUGGUAGUCCACGCCCUAAAACGAUGUCAACUAGUUGUUGGGGAUUCAUUUCCUUAGUAACGUAGCUAACGCGUGAAGUUGACCGCCUGGGGAGUACGGUCGCAAGAUUAAAACUUAAAUGAAUUGACGGGGUCAUAGCUGUUUCCU
rnacentral:rRNA from 1 species